rnacentral:lncRNA from 1 species
CUGAACUGGCUAGAAAAGAAGUAAGAGUGGAGAGCUGGCGGCGCCGAAUAGCCUAGCGCGCUCGCAGAGCCCGGCAGCACCGGUCCGCGGAGGAAAUGCGGGGCAGUCACAGGACCGGCUGGGAGGCACCGGAGAGCGCGAGCCCGCGGUCCCAAGUGGCUGCCGCCGCGGUUGCCUGGACACCCGGUAACCGACCCAGGGGCCUCGGUCGCCGGCGCCGCGGAGCCGGCGGGGUGGACAGGCGAAGCGCGGUGAGACAGAUGAGUUGGUUUCAAAUGACUGUAAAUAACCAUGCCUGAAAAGAAGAUAAUUUCCUGUUCUCCCACUGAAGGAGAGCAAACCAAGAAAGACAAUGCCACAUCACAAGCUUUGGUUCGAUUUGUUACCCCUGAGGAAGCUGUUGAGGUUAUUCAUGAAGAUAAGAUGACAAACACUGAAGAGCUGAAUAAAGGCCUUUACUUUGGCUACCCGUGCCGACGUGAAAGCUGUGCUUUAGUAAACAUCCCAGCUCCAUGUGUCAACAAGAUGAUUGCACACAUUGAAGACGUGGAGUCUAAAAUACAGGAGCAUCUGAAACGGGUAAGUCACAUCUAACAUGCUGAAAUUUUUGUAUAGGGUCUCUUGGUUUCCCUGGUGGCUCAGUGGUAAAGAAUCCGCCUACCAAGCAAU